AGGAUUAUAGUUAAAUUAACAUUUAAGUUGCAUUUAAAAAAUACUGAAAACCCUCAGUUAAUCUUA
rnacentral:tRNA from 1 species